rnacentral:lncRNA from 1 species
UAACGAUGCGGUGCUGCAAUUUUAAAAAAUACAUAAAAAAUGGAAAUUGAUAGUGAGGAAGAGAUAAUGUGUACGCCACCGGAGAUAACAGAAGCUGCAAAAAUCACUUCCCUGAAUUUAUUGCCUGAGAAAUCCCGAAAUGUUUACGUAUCUGUGUACAACACCUUUAUGGACUGGAGGGCAAGCAAGAAUAUUAGUUCAUUCUCAGAGUCAGUUUUGCUGGUAUAUUUUACAGAAUUAGCUGCAAAAUAUAAGCCAUCCACAUUAUGAACACAUUACUCUAUGCUUAGGAGUACGCUUAAUAUAAAUCAAGAAGUCAAUAUAGAAAAAUAUAUAAAACUGCGUUCACUUUUAAAACGGAGGUCUGAAGGCUUUUAUCCGAAGAAAGCAUGUUAUUGAAGCAUGUGAUAAAAAAUAUCUUGCAAUCAAGCCUUUUUUGAAUACAAUGAAAAAAAAACAAUGUGUACUUAUAUACAUAGCAAAAGCUAAUAGGGGCCAACUCAGGCAACAUUGAAAUGCAGCCUGUUCUACUGCUAGCUCCUCAUAAAUAAACAAAAUUAGGUUACAAUGAUAAUGGAAAUAAUGGGUGCAUGCCGGGCAAAUGAAAUGUAUAACAUGAAAAUGGAAGACAUAAAAGACCUUGGAUCAACCUUUUUGGUAAAUGUGCCCAAUACCAAAACAAAAAUCAAUAGAAAAUUUACUAUUACUGAUAAUUUUUAUCAGAUUCUUAAAAAAUACAUCGAUCUCCGUCCGGCAUAUGUAACUUCUCAGGCGUUUUUUAUGAAUUACCAAAAUGACAAGUGCACUUCACAAAGGAUCGGUAUUAACAAAUUCACAAAAAUGGGAAGACAAAUAGCUGAGUUUUUGAAACUGUCAAAUCCCGAGAAAUAUUCCGGACAUAGUUUCCGCAAAUAGUCUGCAACUUUACUCGUCGAUGCAGGUGGAGACAUAACAACACUAAAGAGACACGAGGGUUGGAAAUCCACAUCGGUCGGGGAGGGCUACAUUGAUGAAUCAAUUAAAAAUAAAAUGGAUACAGCUCAGAAAAUAUCGAAUUCAAUACAAGAGACUACUAUACGUAACUACCAAACUGAAAAUAUCAAUCAGAUUAGUUCUAUAAGUAAAGAAAAUAUUAAUUUAAAUAUAAACUCCCCACCUUCGUUCAAUAUUAGUCAUUGCUCAAAUACAAAUAUUACAAUUAAUAUAAAUAAAUAAGUUAAAUAGUUUUAUAAUUUAUAACAAAUAAUUACUAUCACAAGUAUUUUUGAUUUUUUGUUUUGUUAAUGUCAAGUAACGAUAAAUAAAGUUCUUUUCGUAUGA